CGCUGACAACAGGAAAGCCGACCGCCCAGCUCAGGGCCAGAUGUUAAGGGGAGUGUCUUAAAGUGCCUCUUCCAGAAUGGAACAGGAGGUUCCAUUAAAGGCAGGAUAUCAUUUGAUGAUGUUUUCUUUCGGUGGAAGCCAGCUCAACUGUGUCAGCUGUGUCCAUGGCACCUCACAAAAACUGGGAAAAUGUAUUGCUAUUACAAUUGUUUCUUUCAAAUGAUUUCAAGUGCUUGCAUUUCGUUUCACACCUGAGCAAGACAGUUAAGACAGCUUAAUGAACAGACCAAAAUGUUCACAGAUUUGUUCUGUUCCACUACGGUUGUGGUCCUCAACAUCUCAUUCACCUAGGACAUCUUCUUCAUCGUAAGGCCUCCAACCAACUCAGUGAUGAGAAUGUUUGAUCAUUAACUCUGCAAUCCUAAUCAAGCAUGAUGGAAAAGUGCUGCAACACAUGAGCCUAUCUUAAACCCUGCCCAUCUUCAGCGCUUCAGUUGAUUUUGGAUUGAUGGCAAAGGGAGAGAGAGGUUGUGAGAUUGUAAACACAAGCACAAGUAAGACAGGGGGAUUCGGUAGAGCCGGCAGACCCACUGCAAUGAGACGGCAUGAGACUCACCCUCCACCUAUGGAGUCUCAACUCCCUGGACUUCUCAAGCCUUUUGCUGCUCCUUAUUUUCAUAAACCAAACAUUAAGCUACCC
ensembl:lncRNA